rnacentral:rRNA from 1 species
AGAUGUGAAAUCCCCGGGCUUAACCUGGGAACUGCAUCUGAUACUGUUAGGCUAGAAUAGGUGAGAGGAAGGUAGAAUUCCAGGUGUAGCGGUGAAAUGCGUAGAGAUCUGGAGGAAUACCGAUGGCGAAGGCAGCNUCCUGGCAUCAUAUUGACACUGAGGCUCGAAAGCGUGGGUAGCAAACAGGAUUAGAUACCCUGGUAGUCCACGCCGUAAACGAUGUCUACUAGUCGUUGGGUCCCUUGAGGACUUAGUGACGCAGCUAACGCAAUAAGUAGACCGCCUGGGGAGUACGGCCGCAAGGUUAAAACUCAAAUGAAUUGACGGGGGCCCGCACAAGCGGUGGAGCAUGUGGUUUAAUUCGAUGCAACGCGAAGAACCUUACCUGGUCUUGACAUACCCAGAAUCUUGUAGAGAUACGAGAGUGCCUUCGGGAAUUAGAAUACAGGUGCUGCAUGGCUGUCGUCAGCUCGUGUCGUGAGAUGUUGGGUUAAGUCCCGCAACGAGCGCAACCCUUGUCCUUAGUUACCAGCGGGUUAAGCCGGGAACUCUAAGGAUACUGCCAGUGACAAACUGGAGGAAGGCGGGGACGACGUCAAGUCAUCAUGGCCCUUACGACCAGGGCUACACACGUGCUACAAUGGUAGGUACAGAGGGCAGCUACACAGCGAUGUGAUGCGAAUCUUUCAAAGCCUAUCGUAGUCCAGAUUGGAGUCUGCAACUCGACUCCAUGAAGUAGGAAUCGCUAGUAAUCGCGGAUCAGAAUGCCGCGGUGAAUACGUUCCCGGGCCUUGUACACACCGCCCGUCACACCAUGGGAGUUGAUGCACCAGAAGUGGUUAGCAGUAACGUAAGAGGNCGGUCCCCCUAGAGU